rnacentral:rRNA from 1 species
GGGUUGUGAGGUUAAGCGACUAAGCGUACACGGUGGAUGCCCUGGCAGUCAGAGGCGAUGAAGGGCGUGCUAAUCUGCGAUAAGCGCCGGUAAGGUGAUAUGAACCGUUAUAACCGGCGAUACCCGAAUGGGGAAACCCAGUGUGAUUCGUCACACUAUCAUUAACUGAAUCCAUAGGUUAAUGAGGCGAACCGGGGGAACUGAAACAUCUAAGUACCCCGAGGAAAAGAAAUCAACCGAGAUUCCCCCAGUAGCGGCGAGCGAACGGGGAGGAGCCCAGAGCCUGAAUCAGCAUGUGUGUUAGUGGAAGCGUCUGGAAAGGCGCGCGAUACAGGGUGACAGCCCCGUACACAAAAGCGCAUGUGCUGUGAGCUCGAUGAGUAGGGCGGGACACGUGGUAUCCUGUCUGAAUAUGGGGGGACCAUCCUCCAAGGCUAAAUACUCCUGACUGACCGAUAGUGAACCAGUACCGUGAGGGAAAGGCGAAAAGAACCCCGGCGAGGGGAGUGAAAAAGAACCUGAAACCGUGUACGUACAAGCAGUGGGAGCCCCACCACUAAGCCAGUGGUGAACUCCACAUCCGCAUCCUUUGCUGAGGAUACGGUUAACGGAGCGAAAGCGACGUUCAACCGCAAAACAAGCAGAGGGGGCUUAGUGGUGGGGUGACUGCGUACCUUUUGUAUAAUGGGUCAGCGACUUAUAUUCUGUAGCAAGGUUAACCGAAUAGGGGAGCCGGAGGGAAACCGAGUCUUAAUUGGGCGUUAAGUUGCAGGGUAUAGACCCGAAACCCGGUGAUCUAGCCAUGGGCAGGUUGAAGGUUGGGUAACACUAACUGGAGGACCGAACCGACUAAUGUUGAAAAAUUAGCGGAUGACCUGUGGCUGGGGGUGAAAGGCCAAUCAAACCGGGAGAUAGCUGGUUCUCCCCGAAAGCUAUUUAGGUAGCGCCUCGUGAAUUCAUCUCCGGGGGUAGAGCACUGUUUCGGCUAGGGGGCCAUCCCGGCUUACCAACCCGAUGCAAACUGCGAAUACCGGAGAAUGUUAUCACGGGAGACACACGGCGGGUGCUAACGUCCGUCGUGAAGAGGGAAACAACCCAGACCGCCAGCUAAGGUCCCAAAGUCAUGGUUAAGUGGGAAACGAUGUGGGAAGGCCCAGACAGCCAGGAUGUUGGCUUAGAAGCAGCCAUCAUUUAAAGAAAGCGUAAUAGCUCACUGGUCGAGUCGGCCUGCGCGGAAGAUGUAACGGGGCUAAACCAUGCACCGAAGCUGCGGCAGCGAACGUAUCACUUAAAGCGAUUCAGCGGGUUACGAUUGACGGAGCGAAGCGACGUCAAAGCGUAUACAAAGUCGAGUCGGUUUAAGGAUACGUUCGUUGGGUAGGGGAGCGUUCUGUAAGCCCGUGAAGGUGGCCUGUGAGGGUUGCUGGAGGUAUCAGAAGUGCGAAUGCUGACAUAAGUAACGAUAAAGCGGGUGAAAAGCCCGCUCGCCGGAAGACCAAGGGUUCCUGUCCAACGUUAAUCGGGGCAGGGUGAGUCGACCCCUAAGGCGAGGCCGAAAGGCGUAGUCGAUGGGAAACGGGUUAAUAUUCCCGUACUUGGUGUUACUGCGAAGGGGGGACGGAGAAGGCUAUGUUGGCCGGGCGACGGUUGUCCCGGUUUAAGCGUGUAGGUGUGUGUUCCAGGUAAAUCCGGUUCACUUUAACACUGAGGCGUGACGACGAGGCACUACGGUGCUGAAGCAACAAAUGCCCUGCUUCCAGGAAAAGCCUCUAAGCAUCAGGUAACACGAAAUCGUACCCCAAACCGACACAGGUGGUCAGGUAGAGAAUACCAAGGCGCUUGAGAGAACUCGGGUGAAGGAACUAGGCAAAAUGGUGCCGUAACUUCGGGAGAAGGCACGCUGACACGUAGGUGAAGUGAUUUACUCAUGGAGCUGAAGUCAGUCGAAGAUACCAGCUGGCUGCAACUGUUUAUUAAAAACACAGCACUGUGCAAACACGAAAGUGGACGUAUACGGUGUGACGCCUGCCCGGUGCCGGAAGGUUAAUUGAUGGGGUCAGCGCAAGCGAAGCUCCUGAUCGAAGCCCCGGUAAACGGCGGCCGUAACUAUAACGGUCCUAAGGUAGCGAAAUUCCUUGUCGGGUAAGUUCCGACCUGCACGAAUGGCGUAAUGAUGGCCAGGCUGUCUCCACCCGAGACUCAGUGAAAUUGAACUCGCUGUGAAGAUGCAGUGUACCCGCGGCAAGACGGAAAGACCCCGUGAACCUUUACUAUAGCUUGACACUGAACAUUGAGCCUUGAUGUGUAGGAUAGGUGGGAGGCUUUGAAGUGUGGACGCCAGUCUGCAUGGAGCCGACCUUGAAAUACCACCCUUUAAUGUUUGAUGUUCUAACGUGGACCCGUAAUCCGGGUUGCGGACAGUGUCUGGUGGGUAGUUUGACUGGGGCGGUCUCCUCCUAAAGAGUAACGGAGGAGCACGAAGGUUGGCUAAUCCUGGUCGGACAUCAGGAGGUUAGUGCAAUGGCAUAAGCCAGCUUGACUGCGAGCGUGACGGCGCGAGCAGGUGCGAAAGCAGGUCAUAGUGAUCCGGUGGUUCUGAAUGGAAGGGCCAUCGCUCAACGGAUAAAAGGUACUCCGGGGAUAACAGGCUGAUACCGCCCAAGAGUUCAUAUCGACGGCGGUGUUUGGCACCUCGAUGUCGGCUCAUCACAUCCUGGGGCUGAAGUAGGUCCCAAGGGUAUGGCUGUUCGCCAUUUAAAGUGGUACGCGAGCUGGGUUUAGAACGUCGUGAGACAGUUCGGUCCCUAUCUGCCGUGGGCGCUGGAGAACUGAGGGGGGCUGCUCCUAGUACGAGAGGACCGGAGUGGACGCAUCACUGGUGUUCGGGUUGUCAUGCCAAUGGCACUGCCCGGUAGCUAAAUGCGGAAGAGAUAAGUGCUGAAAGCAUCUAAGCACGAAACUUGCCCCGAGAUGAGUUCUCCCUGAAGAUGUUUUGG